AACGCAUCGCAAGAUGAGUGGCAGACGGGUGAGUAACGCGUGGGAACAUACCCUUUUCUACGGAAUAGCUCUGGGAAACUGGAAUUAAUACCGUAUACGCCCUACGGGGGAAAGAUUUAUCGGGGAAGGAUUGGCCCGCGUUGGAUUAGCUAGUUGGUGGGGUAAAGGCCUACCAAGGCGACGAUCCAUAGCUGGGCUGAGAGGAUGAUCAGCCACAUUGGGACUGAGACACGGCCCAAACUCCUACGGGAGGCAGCAGUGGGGAACAGUGGACAAGGGGGGGCAGGCCUGGUCCAGCCAUGCCGCGGGAGUGAGGAAGGCCUUAGGGUUGUAAAGCUCUUCCCCCGAUGAAGAUAAUGGCGGUAGGCGGAGAAGAAGCCCCGGGUAAAUUCGAGCCCAUAGACGCAGGAAGACCCCCUGCGCUUAGGGUUGUUUGAA
rnacentral:rRNA from 1 species